AGGCAAGGAGGAGUAGCGGCCCGACGUGCGGCUGCGCAGUUGCAUAUGCGGUGUUCACGCCCCUGCGGCCGUAGGUGCAGCUGGCCUUCCAGCGGGACCGCCAGCCCCAGAGCAGGACCCCGGGCCGCGCCCCCACGGGCUGCGGCUCAGAACAGGCCGUCCCCGAGCCUCAGGACCAGGACCGGAGCCUGAGAGGGACGAGCGGGACGGCGAGUGGAGGGGCAGCGGCGCUUUGAGGAUGAAGGGCCGGGCUCGGCCCAGCCGGGCAUGAGGAGGAGGGGCCGCUGCCCUGCAGAGGAUCCAGAGCGGAGGACCGAGAGUUGGGAGCUCACCCUUCCCGCAUCGAGUCACUGCCCUGCGUGGCGGGCAGAGUUCCUGACUUUGAUCAGCCUACCUAAACGAUUCGGGGGCAAACACCCGUGAGAUGGGGUCGGAGAUGGGCGCCUGGAAUGGGCCGCUUUCCUCCUCUGGCGUCAGGGGCUCAGGUGCAACCGCCUCCCAGCCUGCUCCCAGACUCCUGCCCCUCCCACUCGCCUUUGCCCUUCCUACACUUUCAAGCCGUCCUGGCUAUUUAUGGCGCUGUGGGCUAAUUGUGUCAGUGCCAAACCCACACUCGGCACAUCCCCCUUCUCAAGCAGUCACCUGCCCUACUAGGUGGCCCCAGAUGUGUGGUGGAGGGUGCCCUCCUGGCCACAUGAGCAGAGAUGGAGGGGGGAUAGGGCUGGUGCCCUUGAGGAAGGGGUGAGAGGCACCUUCCCCUGCAGUUCCCAGCACUUCCUCUUGCUGGGCUCCUCCAUUUCCACCAUGGCUGUUUGGAAAGACAGGGUGAGACUCCCAGGACCUGCACCCCUUGGCUUCUGCCACUCUCAGGAGCCUGGCUCAGCCCUUCUUCUCACUUCACAGGGUCCUCGCCUCCCAACUUGCACCUCACUGAAGCCUCUUCACUCACUCCAGUUCAGCUCCCAUACCUCUUCUGUCCCUGAGACCACCUCUCCUCCCCAUUGGGAAGUUCUGAAGCAACACCAGCCCUUGCUCAGUUUGGAAAGGCCAAGGGGGCUUCUCGCCCAGAUACCUGCUAGUGUUCAACAAAGAGAGGCCUAGCUGGCGUCACUCUGUUCUGUGGCACAUGCCUUUCCCCCCAGCCCUGCCAGGACACCACUCUGGUCACAUUCAGGGGACCACAGCUUCCAUAAGGCCGCCAUCACAUCCUUAGGGCCUGGCCUCUCCUUCAAUAAAGGACCCUGCAUCUGGAGACCUCCAAACCUAAGGGCCAGAAGAGACCUUGGAAUUGUGGUCUGCCUUACUAGUCUAGAUCUCACCCCUCUGCCAGGAAGAAAGAGAUCUGUCAGCAGGGCUGGCACCCUGAGCCCAGGCUGAGCAUUCAGCCCCUGUGCACUCACCUGUGAAGCUCCCUCCUGGAGGACUAGGACCAUGCCCAUUGUCCAGACCUCUCAGAGGCCCCAUAUCUUCUCCUUCGUGGCAACAUCCCCUACACACUCUUCUGCAGGAGAGCUGACACCACCACCCCCAUUCCAUUCAGAGCUACACCACACCCCCAUCAAAUCUCACCUUGGCUGGGGGCUGUCAGCUACUGCCUGGCUCCCAGCUCUGCACUCAACCUCUACUCCUCCUCUUACACCAUGGCCUUCGCAGUGCCGCGCCCCCCCCCCCAUGUUUACCCCCAGACCCUCUGAAUCCUCUCUCUUCCUAGAAGCCUUUCUGAGACUGGCCCUCUUCCUUUUCUUCUGCUCCAAGUUCCUGAAGCCCUGAGCCUCAGAAGCACCCCAAUGAAUCCACCUACAGAAGGAUAGUCUGAGCUGGAAAAGGCCUGAAGGGCUGCCCAGUGGGCAGAGGAGGAGUGCUUGGGCAGUGAGGAACCAAAUCCAGCCCCAACUUUGUCCCUGCCUCUCUGAUGAACAUUGGACAUGCUGCUCCUCUCACUGAGCUUUGGAGAGGGUUGAACUGAAUCUCUACAGUGGUACCCAAAUCCAGGACUGGAUGCCUUCUUUAUGCAAGGACCAGGUGCCUAUGUACAGUCCAGUGGGAGGAUGGAGGCAUGUACACAGUGUUAAUGUGAGGCAGACUAGCAGAAGUGUAGGAUGCACUAUAACCGUAUUACUCACCCACCUCCCUCCCAUUUUCCCAUCCAUCCAUCCACCCGUCCAUCCAUCUACUCCCUCAUUACCCAUCCACCUGUCACCUAAUCACUCACUCCUCCAUCCACCCUCCACCUGUCCACUUACCCAUUUACCCACCCAUCCAAGGCCCAUCUAGUGCCUAAAGCUCUUGGCCUGGGGUGAGGGAGACACAGAUAUGGGAAUAGGCAUCAGGCCUUUAGGGGACCUUGUGGGGCAAGGGUAUUUGGCUGUGCGGCAGCUGAAUUCAGCCCACUGGUACUCAUCUCCUGCUUCUCAGCCCAGUUUGUCCAGCUCUUGCUCAAGUUGAUUUCUAGGGCCCUGGCUAAGUUGGGGGACGAGAUCCCCACCUCAUUUGGAGUCUUGUACUGCCCCCGGGUCCUGAGGCCUCCUGUGCCCAGCUGGUCAUCCCAGUUAAGGCCCUGUCACCCACUCCUGCAGCUGCAGGUGUUCAAGUGCAUCAGUGGGCUGGGAGGGGAAGGGGGGGAGAUUGAGACAACCAUCAGCUUUUGUCCAGUCCUGGGCUUUAUUGACUCCUAGGAGCUGCCAGAGUUAUAAAUAGCCAGUCCUGAGCUAAAAAUAGCCUUACUGGAGCGUCAGCCCAUGCUUUUGGCUCCCAGCCUAUGUGAGGACUCUUAAGGAUUGGGGAUUCAAGGACCUACCUUCUUUCCCAGCCCCCAAGAGGGGCUGGCCAGGCCCUAUUACUCCCUGCUCCCAUCCCCUGAGGCACAGCUGGUAUACACACGUCUGGCCAGUGUCACUGGUUUGGGAGGUCCCUGGAGACAUAGUCCAGGCCUAGAGGAAGCCACAUUAGCCAGGGAGCUGUAGGGCCUAACUAGAAACUUGUGCCUGUUGCACAGUGAGCGCUCAGUACAUGGGUGCUGUCCCAAUAAUAACCAGGCAGAUAUUGAAGUGACCCCAAAAACCUAGUGUAAAAAUCUAUUGUGUGGGAAUGGGGUGAGGAUGCUCACCACUGCACAGCUGCUGACUGUGUGCAGCACACCUCACAGCUGGUAUGCGCUGACAGGUGGGGUCUGCAGGCUGGCCAGGGCUGCCUCCAGGAGAGAAGCCUGGUGGCCCAGAAAGCAUACAUCAGUACUUCCCACAGAUGCUGUGUGCCUUGUACCCCUGUACCACACGCACAUGUUAAAUAAAUAACAUUUGAAAACCU